GGUGCCGGAGUUGAUCAAACCCAUAAAUCAAUUCCAUUAAUGUCUUCCAUGAUUUCUGAACUUUUUGAUUCUCCUUAAAAAUCCGACUUCGAAGCUCAUUAUCUUCUUCAUCUUCCACACACGAAUCAAGCAGAUUUCGCCAUGUUUUCGUCUCUCACAUAGUCACAAAUGGAUAUCAUCAGGAUCAAAAGUUGUGGUAGCAAGGAUUGCUUGCAAUAUAGCAAUAUGGGAGAAAGUUGCAACAUAGACAGGUAUCAAGUGUGAUCCGAUCUAUGUGUGUAUUGGAUCUGAUUUGUAUGUAUUUACAUAUGUCAUAUGAUCUAUUUUUUAUGUGAGAGACCUGAUCUGUAUAUUCGAGUAUGAUCUGAUUUGUAUGUCUAUGUAUAUCUUCAUUACUUGCCUCCUUCUAUUGAAUCUCGAGUGUCUGAUCACAUGCCCCUAAUGAAGGGUAUGACCAUUUUUUUAAAAACCGAUGCUUACAUUCUAUUACAUAGUAAAAAAAUUCUAUUUUUAACAGUGAAAACAGGAAAAGACUACAGAAUCGAUGGAACGGGAAAAUACUACAUAAUCAAGAAUUGAGAACUAAGAAGUCUGGAAUCUUCCAAGAGUCAAUAUAUCUAAUCUUGAAACUGAAAAUAAAGUUGAAAUAAUAUUUUCACUUCAAACUAGCCAAGUGGUGUCUUCCUCUAUUCAAGGAUUUAGAAACCUAUGAGUUUUCAAGGUAAACAAAAUUAUUUCAAAUAAGAAAAUCAAAGGCGUGGAGUCCAUAUUCCUCAAAGACAUUUUGGUCAUUUCAUGACAAGCAAAUGUAACGACAGCCAACAAAAUAUAUAUGGAUGUUGCAAAAUAACUUCGAGGUGAAGAGACUUGGAGCCAAAAACUAAUCACAUGAAUAAUUCUAAAAUGGAACCUUGGGAAUGCAUAGAGGGAUGCUGUGAUACAUAACAAUCUGCUGUCAAAACCAUGGUUACAGAUAGGUAAUGAGCAUCUUAAAAGUUUUUGGUCAAAAUAUAUGAAUUACUCCUAUAAAUUUACUCAAAAUAUGUGAAUUCCUUUAUGUUAUAGCAAGAAAUAUCAAUUUACUUUGAACAACCAUUUGAUUAUGAAAAUAAAACAAUUUUUUUAAAAAAAUGUUUAGUUUUGAUUAAA